CCCUUAGAUGUUCUGGGCCGCACGCGCGCUACACUGACGAAUGCAACGAGCUUAUAACCUUGGCCGAAAGGUCUGGGUAAUCUCCAAAUUUCGUCGUGAUGGGGAUAGAUUAUUGCAAUUAUUAAUCUUCAACGAGGAAUGCCUAGUAAGCGCAAGUCAUCAGCUUGCGUUGAUUACGUCCCUGCCCUUUGUACACACCGCCCGUCGCUACUACCGAUUGGAUCGUUUAGCGAGAGCCUUGGAUCGCUGCCCGGGUGGUCAGCAAUGGCCGCCCGGGAAUAGCGAAAAAUUGUUCCAGCUUGCCGAUCUAGAGGAAGUAAAAGUCGUAACA
rnacentral:rRNA from 1 species